rnacentral:rRNA from 1 species
UCUGCUCAGGACGAACGCGGGCGGCGUGCCUAAUACAUGCAAGUCGAGCGAGCUGAAUUCAAAGAUCCCUUCGGGGUGAUUUGUUGGAUGCUAGCGGCGGAUGGGUGAGUAACACGUGGGCAAUCUGCCCUAAAGACUGGGAUACCACUUGGAAACAGGUGCUAAUACCGGAUAACAACAUGAAUCGCAUGAUUCAAGUUUGAAAGGCGGCGCAAGCUGUCACUUUAGGAUGAGCCCGCGGCGCAUUAGCUAGUUGGUGGGGUAAAGGCCUACCAAGGCAAUGAUGCGUAGCCGAGUUGAGAGACUGAUCGGCCACAUUGGGACUGAGACACGGCCCAAACUCCUACGGGAGGCAGCAGUAGGGAAUCUUCCACAAUGGACGCAAGUCUGAUGGAGCAACGCCGCGUGAGUGAAGAAGGUCUUCGGAUCGUAAAGCUCUGUUGUUGGUGAAGAAGGAUAGAGGCAGUAACUGGUCUUUAUUUGACGGUAAUCAACCAGAAAGUCACGGCUAACUACGUGCCAGCAGCCGCGGUAAUACGCAGGUGGCAAGCGUUGUCCGGAUUUAUUGGGCGUAAAGCGAGCGCAGGCGGAAUGAUAAGUCUGAUGUGAAAGCCCACGGCUCAACCGUGGAACUGCAUCGGAAACUGUCAUUCUUGAGUGCAGAAGAGGAGAGUGGAACUCCAUGUGUAGCGGUGGAAUGCGUAGAUAUAUGGAAGAACACCAGUGGCGAAGGCGGCUCUCUGGUCUGCAACUGACGCUGAGGCUCGAA